rnacentral:lncRNA from 1 species
GUACAGAAGAGAAAUGCUCAGUUGUCAAAAAACUACAAAGGGAUCCCUGGCUCUGGGUGUGCUAUGAAGACAACUCCCUCCCCAGUGAGCCCAGGGAACAGGCCUGGAUGCUGGACAAAGUUUGGGAGGGAGCUCCAGGCCCAGGGUCCUCCACUUGGGGUCUCCCCCUUUAUGUUUGUAAAAACCGCAGGACUGGAGUAUUGAGGACUCUGUCCCCCUGCAAGUAUUGCCGUUGGAUAUGAAACACACAGAGCAAAACCCCAAGGUGACAAAUGAGUGAAAACCUAAGGUGACAAGUGGACAGACGCCCCCCAGAUGGAGGAGACGCUGGCUAGCUGGCGACCUCUGCCCCUACGUAACUUGUCAGUCCUUGAAGGCACAGCAGCAUUGGCCAGAGAUGGCCCCUCCCGUGGCCAGGGCUGGAUUGCAGUUCCCUGCCUUGCUCACCUGUGGCCACAGCUCAUAACCCCAGUUACCCCACAGCCAGGGACUGGAGGGGCCUCUGAAGCACAGACAGGCUUAGGCAGCCUCCCACCCCCACCCCAGCAGCUUCUUCUGGGAGUGGGACCCUAUCUGAAGGAUGAAGAGAUGGGCUUGGCCACCUGAGGGCCAGAAGGAACUGGGCACAGGCAGGCUCUAUGCUCACCUUGGAAUUACCCCAGGUCUUCAUAUUGUGGGGCCACUGUGUAGGGGUAGGGGUCUGAAGGAGACAGCCUUCUCAUCUGCCCUAUUUCACCAGCUCAAGGGUAUAGCUGUUCCUGGUUCUCCUUAGCCUGGGAAGACCCAGCGCCCAUGGCAAUCCCCAGGCCUGCUAAGGGGUCUGCCCAGGAAGGCAGGCAAAGAAAUGCAUUGCUCCCAGGGGUUGGACGCCUGCCCGGGACCAGGCCUUGAGCUGAGAACCUGGAAGCCCCUGCCAGGAUCCCUUCCUGGCCAGGCCUGCACGGGCGGGGAGUGAGGCUGGGGAUGACGCAGGGACACGGAAGCCCAGGCCCUGCUGCCCUCGUGCUCUCCGCUUGCACCUGCCAGCGUCAUGGUGGGAGCCAUGGAGGGAGAUGAUGUGGUGGGGACAGGCAACGACGGCAGAGUAAUGAGGGUGGGGACACUAAUGGUGGUCAAGGUGGCUCAGGUGCCAUUGGUGGUGGUGCAGAGUGUUGUGCUUAGUUGGGGUGGAGUGUGGGUUCCCAAGGGGGCAGGGGGCACUGAGAGUGGGAGGCCUCAGGCCUAGGGAGCCACACCAGGCCACAUGCUGAAAACGGACCUCCACAAAGGCCGCAGAGGGCUCUAGACUACUUCUCACACCUGGGCCACUCAGUGGCCAGGGCCUACAAAGAAGAGACUUCAAACAGCCCUGAGAGUUAACGUGGUCUUUAGGGCAUCACAGAUGGGGAGACUGAGGCAGGACAGGUCGGAAGCAGGGAGACCUGAUCAGAGCUUGUUCGGGCUCUGAACACCCCUGUGCUUAGAGACCCUCUGUACCCUCCCCCCCUCCCACGGGUGUGGCGGUUAUGGUGCAGUGUGGGUGGAAAGCCCCUGGGGAGGCCAGUGGCUCCAGCUCACCCUCUCCAAAGCGGGGCUUUGUCCGAUCCCGCAGUGGCCCUGUCUCAGGUUCCCUGCUCCCGACGUCCUGUUGCGCAGGGCUGGUGAUGGCGCAGCUGGACGUGUGCACAUGUCACUCACUACCCAAGCCCAAGCUUGGGAUGUCACUCAGCUCCCCAGGCCCGACCUCACUCGGCCCGG